AGGUUGGAAAAGAGUUCCUACAAAGGUUUUGGACAGUGAUUUUAACCCUAACGCCAAAAACUUAAACCUUACCAUAGCCCCAUAACCUAAUACCCAGGUAUUACUUUUAGGAAGCCUGAACACCCCAAAUAUUUUUUUUUUCAUUUUUCUUUUUUUUUUGGUCUAACUAACUCCAAAAGGUUGGAAAAGAGUUCCUACAAAGGUUUUGGACAGUGAUUUUAACCCUAACGCCAAAAACCUUAAACCUUACCAUAGCCCCAUAACCUAAUACCCGGGUAUUACUUUCAGGGAGCCUGAAAACCCCCAAUAAUAUUUUUUUCUUUUUUCAUUUUUUUUGGUCUAACUAACUCCAAAAGGUUGGAAAAGAGUUCCUACAAAGGUUUUGGACAGUGAUUUUAACCCUAACGCCAAAAAACUUAAACCUUACCAUAGCCCCAAAACCUAAUACCCGGGUAUUACUUUCAGGGAGCCCGAAAACCCCCAAUAAUAUUUUUUUCUUUUUUCAUACUUUUUGGUCUAACUAACUCCAAAAGGUUGGAAAAGAGUUCCUACAAAGGUUUUGGACAGUGAUUUUAACCCUAACGCCAAAAAACUUAAACCUUUCCCUGGCCUUAAAAUCUAAUACCCGGGUAUUACAUUCAGGAAGCCCGUAAACCCCAAAUAUUUUUUUUUCUUUUUUCAUUUUUUUUUUGGUCUAACUAACUCUAAAAGGUUGAAAAGAGUUCCUACAAAGGUUUUGGACAGUGAUUUUAACCCUAACGCCAAAAACCUUAAACCUUACCAUAGCCCCAUAACCUAAUACCCGGGUAUUACUUUUAGGAAGCCUGAACACCCCAAAUAUAUUUUUUUUAAUUUUUCAUUUUUUUUUGGUCUAACUAACUCCAAAAGGUUGGAAAAGAGUUCCUACAAAGGUUUUGGACAGUGAUUUUAACCCUAACGCCAAAACUUAAACCUUUCCCAUAGCCCCAAAACCUAAUACCCGGGUAUUACUUUCAGGGAGCCCGAAAACCCCCAAUAAUAUUUUUUUCUUUUUUCAUAUUUUUUGGUCUAACUAACUCCAAAAGGUUGGAAAAGAGUUCCUACAAAGGUUUUGGACAGUGAUUUUAACCCUAACGCCAAAAAACUUAAACCUUUCCCUGGCCUUAAAAUCUAAUGCCCGGGUAUUACAUUCAGGAAGCCCGUAAACCCCAAAUAUUUUUUUUUUCAUUUUUCAUUUUUUUUUUGGUCUAACUAACUCCAAAAGGUUGAAAAAGAGUUCCUACAAAGGUUUUGGACAGUGAUUUUAACCCUAACGCCAAAAACGUUAAACCUUACCAUAGCCCAUAACCUAAUACGUAUUACUUUUAGGAAGCCUGAACACCCCAAAUAUUUUUUUUCAUUUCUCUUUUUUUUGGUCUAACUAACUCCAAAAGGUUGGAAAAGAGUUCCUACAAAGGUUUUGGACAGUGAUUUUAACCCUAACGCCAAAAAACUUAAACCUUACCAUAGCCCAAAACCUAAUACCCGGGUAUUACUUUCAGGAAGCCCGAAAACCCCCAAUAAUAUUUUUUUCUUUUUUCAUACUUUUUGGUCUAACUAACUCCAAAAGGUUGGAAAAGAGUUCCUACAAAGGUUUUGGACAGUGAUUUUAACCCUAAUGCCAAAAAACUUAAACCUUACCCUAGCCUUAAAACCUAAUACCCGGGUAUUACAUUCAGGAACCCCGAAAACCCCAAAUAUUGUUUUUUCAUUUUUCAUUUUUUUUGGUCUAACUAACUCCAAAAGGUUGGAAAAGAGUUCCUACAAAGGUUUUGGACAGUGAUUUUAACCCUAACGCCAAAAAACUUAAACCUUUCCCUGGCCUUAAAAUCUAAUACCCGGGUAUUACAUUCAGGAAGCCCGUAAACCCCAAAUAUUUUUUUUUUCAUUUUUCAUUUUUUUUUUGGUCUAACUAACUCUAAAAGGUUUAAAAAGAGUUCCUACAAAGGUUUUGGACAGUGAUUUUAACCCUAACGCCAAAAACCUUAAACCUUACCAUAGCCCCAUAACCUAAUACUACUACUACUUUUAGGAAGCCUGAACACCCCAAAUAUAUUUUUUUUAAUUUUUCUUUUUUUUUUGGUCUAACUAACUCCAAAAGGUUGGAAAAGAGUUCCUACAAAGGUUUUGGACAGUGAUUUUAACCCUAACGCCAAAACCCUUAAACCUUUCCCUAGUCCCAAAACCUAAUACACGGGUAUUACUUUCAGGAAGCCCGAAAACCCCCAAUAUUUUUUUUUUCAUUUUUCUUUUUUUUUUUGGUCUAACUAACUCCAAAAGGUUGGAAAAGAGUUCCUACAAAGGUUUUGGACAGUGAUUUUAACCCUAACGCCAAAAAACUUAAACCUUACCAUAGCCCCAUAACCUAAUACCCGGGUAUUACUUUUAGGAAGCCUGAACACCCCAAAUAUUUUUUUUUCAUUUUUCUUUUUUUUUUUGGUCUAACUAACUCCAAAAGGUUGGAAAAGAGUUCCUACAAAGGUUUUGGACAGUGAUUUUAACCCUAACGCCAAAAAACUUAAACCUUACCAUAGCCCCAAACCUAAUACCCGGGUAUUACUUUCAGGAAGCCCGAAAACCCCCAAUAAUAUUUUUUCUUUUUUCAUUUUUUUGGUCUAACUAACUCCAAAAGGUUGGAAAAGAGUUCCUACAAAGGUUUUGGACAGUGAUUAUAACCCUAACGCCAAAAAACUUAAACCUUACCCUAGCCUUAAAAUCUAGUACCCGGGUAUUACGUUCAGGAACCCCGAAAACCCCAAAUAUUGUUUUUUCAUUUUUCAUUUUUUUUUGGUCUAACUAACUCCAAAAGGUUGGAAAAGAGUUCCUACAAAGGUUUUGGACAGUGAUUUUAACCCUAACGCCAAAAAACUUAAACCUUUCCCUGGCCUUAAAAUCUAAUACCCGGGUAUUACAUUCAGGAAGCCCGUAAACCCCAAAUAUUUUUUUUUUCAUUUUUCAUUUUUUUUUUGGUCUAACUAACUCCAAAAGGUUGAAAAAGAGUUCCUACAAAGGUUUUGGACAGUGAUUUUAACCCUAACGCCAAAAACCUUAAACCUUACCAUAGCCCCAUAACCUAAUACCCGGGUAUUACUUUUAGGAAGCCUGAACACCCCAAAUAUAUUUUUUUUAAUUUUUCUUUUUUUUUUUGGUCUAACUAACUCCAAAAGGUUGGAAAAGAGUUCCUACAAAGGUUUUGGACAGUGAUUUUAACCAUAAUGCCAAAACCCUUAAACCUUUCCCUAGUCCCAAAACCUAAUACACGGGUAUUACUUUCAGGGAGCCCGAAAACCCCCAAAUAUUUUUUUUUUCAUUUUUCUUUUUUUUUUUUGGUCUAACUAACUCCAAAAGGUUGGAAAAGAGUUCCUACAAAGGUUUUGGACAGUGAUUUUAACCCUAACGCCAAAAAACUUAAACCUUACCAUAGCCCCAUAACCUAAUACCCGGGUAUUACUUUUAGGAAGCCUGAACACCCCAAAUAUUUUUUUUUCAUUUUUCUUUUUUUUUUGGUCUAACUAACUCCAAAAGGUUGGAAAAGAGUUCCUACAAAGGUUUUGGACAGGGAUUUUAACCCUAACGCCAAAAAACUUAAACCUUACCAUAGCCCCAAACCUAAUACCCGGGUAUUACUUUCAGGGAGCCCGAAAACCCCCAAUAAUAUUUUUUUCUUUUUUCAUAUUUUUUUGGUCUAACUAACUCCAAAAGGUUGGAAAAGAGUUCCUACAAAGGUUUUGGACAGUGAUUUUAACCCUAACGCCAAAAAACUUAAACCUUACCAUAGCCCCAAAACCUAAUACCCGGGUAUUACUUUCAGGGAGCCCGAAAACCCCCAAUAAUAUUUUUUUCUUUUUUCAUACUUUUUGGUCUAACUAACUCCAAAAGGUUGGAAAAGAGUUCCUACAAAGGUUUUGGACAGUGAUUUUAACCCUAACGCCAAAAACCUUAAACCUUACCCUAGCCUUAAAAUCUAAUACCGGGGUAUUACCUUCAGGAAGCCCGAACACCCCAAAUAUUUUUUUGUUCAUUUUACAUUUUUUUUGGUGUAACUAACUCCAAAAGGUUGGAAAAGAGUUCCUACAAAGGUUUUGGACAGUGAUUUUAACCCUAACGCCAAAAAACUUAAACCUUACCCUAGCCUUAAAAUCUAAUACCCGGGUAUUACAUUCAGGAAGCCCGAAAACCCCAAAUAUAUAUUUUUUCAUUUUUCUUUUUUUUUUUGGUUUAACUAACUCCAAAAGGUUGGAAAAGAGUUCCUACAAAGGUUUUGGACAGUGAUUUUAACCCUAACGCCAAAAAACUUAAACCUUACCCUAGCCUUAAAAUCUAAUACCCGGGUAUUACCUUCAGGAAGCCCGAACACCCCAAAUAUUUUUUUUUCAUUUUACAUUUUUUUUGGUUUAACUAACUCCAAAAGGUUGGAAAAGAGUUCCUACAAAGGUUUUGGACAGUGAUUUUAAACCUAACGCCAAAAAACAUAAACCUUACCCUAGCCUUAAAAUCUAAUACCCAGGUAUUACAUUCAGGAAGCCCGAAAACCCCAAAUAAUAUUUUUUUUCAUUUUUCAUUUUUUUUUUUGGUCUAACUAACUCCAAAAGGUUGGAAAAGAGUUCCUACAAAGGUUUUGGACAGUGAUUUUAACCCUAACGCCAAAAAACUUAAACCUUACCCUAGCCACAAAACCUAAUACCUGGGUAUUACUUUUAGGAAGCCUGAACUCCCCAAAUAUUUUUUUUUCAUUUUUCUUUUUUUUUUGGUCUAACUAACUCCAAAAGGUUGGAAAAGAGUUCCUACAAAGGUUUUGGACAGUGAUUUUAACCCUAACGCCAAAAACCUUAAACCUUUCCCCAGUCCCAAAACCUAAUACCUGGGUAUUACCUUCAGGAAGCCCGAAAACCCCCAAUAAUAUUUUUUUCUUUUUUCAUAUUUUUUGGUCUAACUAACUCCAAAAGGUUGGAAAAGAGUUCCUACAAAGGUUUUGGACAGUGAUUUUAACCCUAACGCCAAAAAACUUAAACCUUUCCCUGGCCUUAAAAUCUAAUAACCGGGUAUUACAUUCAGGAAGCCCGUAAACCCCAAAUAUUUUUUUUUUCAUUUUUCAUUUUUUUUUUGGUCUAACUAACUCCAAAAGGUUGAAAAAGAGUUCCUACAAAGGUUUUGGACAGUGAUUUUAAACCUAACGCCAAAACAUUAAACCUUACCAUAGCCCCAAAACCUAAUACGUAUUACUUUUAGGAAGCCUGAACACCCCAAAUAUUUUUUUUUCAUUUUUCUUUUUUUUUUUGGUCUAACUAACUCCAAAAGGUUGGAAAAGAGUUCCUACAAAGGUUUUGGACAGUGAUUUUAACCCUAACGCCAAAAAACUUAAACCUUACCAUAGCCCCAAAACCUAAUACCCGGGUAUUACUUUCAGGAAGCCCGAAAACCCCCAAUAAUAUUUUUUUCUUUUUUCAUUUUUUUUGGUCUAACUAACUCCAAAAGGUUGGAAAAGAGUUCCUACAAAGGUUUUGGACAGUGAUUUUAACCCUAACGCCAAAAACUUAAACCUUACCAUAGCCCCAAAACCUAAUACUCGGGUAUUACAUUCAGGAAGCCCGUAAACAGUGAUUUUAACCCUAACGCCAAAAAACUUAAACCUUUCCCUGGCCUUAAAAUCUAAUACCCGGGUAUUACAUUCAGGAAGCCCGUAAACCCCAAAUAUUUUUUUUUUCAUUUUUCAUUUUUUUUUUGGUCUAACUAACUCCAAAAGGUUGAAAAAGAGUUCCUACAAAGGUUUUGGACAGUGAUUUUAACCCUAACGCCAAAACCUUAAACCUUACCAUAGCCCCAUAACCUAAUACCCGGGUAUUACUUUUAGGAAGCCUGAACACCCCAAAUAUUUUUUUUUCAUUUUUCUUUUUUUUUUGGUCUAACUAACUCCAAAAGGUUGGAAAAGAGUUCCUACAAAGGUUUUGGACAGUGAUUUUAACCCUAACGCCAAAACCCUUAAACCUUUCCCUAGUCCCAAAACCUAAUACCCGGGUAUUACUUUCAGGGAGCCCGAAAACCCCCAAUAAUAUUUUUUUCUUUUUUCAUAUUUUUUGGUCUAACUAACUCCAAAAGGUUGGAAAAGAGUUCCUACAAAGGUUUUGGACAGUGAUUUUAACCCUAACGCCAAAAACCUUAAACCUUACCCUAGCCUUGAAAUGUAAUACCCGGGUAUUACCUUCAGGAAGCCUGAACACCCCAAAUAUUUUUUUUCAUUUUACAUUUUUGUUGGUGUAACCAACUCCAAAAGGUUGGAAAAGAGUUCCUACAAAGGUUUUGGACAGUGAUUUUAACCCUAAUGCCAAAAAACUUAAACCUUACCCUAGCCUCAAAAUCUAAUACCCGGGUAUUACAUUCAGGAACCCCGAAAACCCCAAAUAUUGUUUUUUAAUUUUUCAUUUUUUUUUUGGUUUAACUAACUCCAAAAGGUUGGAAAAGAGUUCCUACAAAGGUUUUGGACAGUGAUUUUAACCCUAACGCCAAAAAACUUAAACCUUACCCUAGCCUUAAAAUCUAAUACCCGGGUAUUACCUUCAGGAAGCCCGAACACCCCAAAUAUUUUUUUUUCAUUUUACAUUUUUUUUGGUCUAACUAACUCCAAAAGGUUGGAAAAGAGUUCCUACAAAGGUUUUGGACAGUGAUUUCAACCCUAACGCCAAAAAACUUAAACCUUACCCUAGCUUUAUAAUCUAACACACGGGUAUUACGUUCAGGAAGCCCGAAAAACCCCAAAUAUAUAUUUUUUCAUUUUUCUUUUUUUUUUGGUCUAACUAACUCCAAAAGGUUGGAAAAGAGUUCCUACAAAGGUUUUGGACAGUGAUUUUAACCCUAACGCCAAAAAACUUAAACCUUACCCUCGCCUUAAAAUCUAAUACCCGGGUAUUACAUUCAGGAAGCCCGAAAACCCCAAAUAUUUUUUUUUCAUUUUUCAUUUUUUUUGGUCUAACUAACUCCAAAAGGUUGGAAAAGAGUUCCUACAAAGGUUUUGGACAGUGAUUUUAACCCUAACGCCAAAAAACUUAAACCUUACCCUAGCCCCAAAACCUAAUACCCGGGUAUUACUUUCAGGAAGCCUGAAAACCCCAAAUAUUUUUUUUUCAUUUUUCUUUUUUUUUUGGUCUAACUAACUCCAAAAGGUUGGAAAAGAGUUCCUACAAAGGUUUUGGACAGUGAUUUUAACCCUAACGCCAAAAACCUUAAACCUUUCCCCAGUCCCAAAACCUAAU